GGCUGCUGAGAACCAGCCCUCGACCUCUGCUUGAGGGUCCUUCCUCUGAAGACAUCACCAGCGUGUGGAGCCUGCCCCACACCCACCCCCUGCCAAACCACGGCCUUUACCUGUGUCUUCCGGUGUUUCCCGUGCGACCCAUCCUGUGGGAGUGCCUCGUGGGCUGCCCCGGAGUUCACCCCACGCUCAGCAGCACCAAUGGUGAAGAUGACAAGAUCCAAGACUUUCCAGGCAUAUCUGCCCUCAUGCCACCGGACCUACAGCUGCAUUCACUGCAGAGCCCACUUGGCCAAUCAUGAUGAACUUAUUUCCAAGGAACAUGCCUUUGAAAGCAGCCAGAAAUAUAAAGAAGGCAAAUACAUCAUUGAGCUAGCACACAUGAUCAAGGACAAUGGCUGGGACUGACCGGAGAGCAUCUGCCCAACCCCGUGUCCACGUGAACGCCAUCCAACUGAACAUUCUACCCAAGCGUGAGAGAGUGACUGAACACUUGGUUCCAUCCAUUUAGGGGCCUUGCCAUCGGGGGCAUUCUCCCACCCUGACGCCAUCUUGCUGGUGACCGGCCUCUAAAUCGCUGUCUCUCUGUCUCUUUGCUUUGUCUCUGUUUGUGAGUUGAUCCUGGCUUCUCUCUCUGUUCUAGUGUUAGCUGAAAACAAAACAACGAAAGGAACAGAUGCCUGCCCGCACGGUGGCAGCCCCCUUGGACGAGGGCCCCAGGGCCUGGGAAGAGCCGCCUGGUGGCCUCUUGUCAGGAGAGCAGUGGCACAGCACGGGGGUGUGAGGAAGAGGGGGACCGCGAGGGGCCCAGGUGGGUAGGGGAUGGGAGAGGGUCGCGCGAGGGACAAACGUGUGCUGCUCCUGGACACCUGGUAACUUAGGCUUGAAAUGGUCGACUUGUCUAAAAGGACAACGAGAAAAAGCAAACGAAAAAAAAUACCUCAUGACUGCAUUCUCUCUGAUCAGAAGCUUCCGUUCCUGACACCCAGUGUGCCAGGUUCGCACAUGAGCACAAGGAGGGGCCCUAAUUCUGGAUGGCGGGGCAGGGGUCUGCCUCUCCCGGUCCAAGCUGCGGCGCGUCCUGGGAGGGGCCCAGAUGGUGUCGAUGACCCUGACGCUUCCCUGCUCCUCCGGGUCAUCUUCUUUGCCUCUCCAGCCGCUGUAGGUGACAGGAGAGGGGACUGCCACGUGCAGUGGGUGCAAGAUCCCGAUCUCCCAAAGGCUUUGACCCGCCCCCAAGGGAAAUCAAUAAUCAAGGAGACCAGGGAACAAAGCAGGAGGGGGGUGGGGGGGGGCCAUUUGGGAGCUCCCUCGGAAGUGGCUCGGAAAACGGGCCAGAGGAAAGAAAAGGUAGAGCCCAUCAGGAAUUUGGACUUCUCCUCCCUGAACCUUAAGAGAAGAGCACUGUGGCAAGAAAGGGGGGCGGGCCGGGGGCAGUGCCAGGAACCGUCUAGGUUGGAACCAUUACAGGUUAGGCGCGUCUCUCUUCUUUGGCAUGCGGUGGUUUCACGGAGAUCCGCAGUUCCUUGUACAUAGAGCUUGGGGUGCUUUUCUCCAUCCGUGCAGAUUGUGGAAAACCAGGUCCCAAAGCUUCCAGCUGAGUGCGCCCCCUGGCCGGUCAAUUUCUCGUGCCCUGAGCGGUUCUCCUUGUACUUGGAUGUUGUGUGUGGAGGGACGUCUGUCCGUGUGGUUCAGCGAUAGGGAGGCUUAGCUUUGAUGUCCUUUGGCAAGUUAUGAAUUCCAGUGUUACACCCCCUCAUCCAAAGUUCAUGCUAUUAGGGAAGGGGACAGCAGGUCCCCGAAAGGCUCAGGAGCGAGAGAGGAGUUUGUUACGUUUAAUCAACACUGUGAAGUCUGUUCUACAGCAAUUUAGCCAGUACGCAGGGCAUGACCGAAGCUCAUUUAACGGAGUUCAUUUCACUGCGCAGACCGAAAAUAUUAUUAUGACUAAGAUAGGUGUAGGUUAUGUUAGGUAAUUCUCAGCUUCUCUUUCUCCAGAUAGGCUGAUUCCCCUAGGAAAACUCUCCUGAAAAAGUCACAAAAGAGUGAGUUCACAGAUGAGAAUCGGUGAAAAUUCUCAACCGAGAUGAAAGCAGCCAAUCCAGGACAUUUUCAGAAUUGAACCAAAGUCCCAGAGGGAGCGAGACUGUUGUGGCAGGGCGUUUUUGUGUCUCUGUGUGCUGCCGGGUGUUGGGCAGAGGGGCCUGGCACAGUAUGGUCCUGCCCUGGCAGAGCCGGGCCGCAGGACUGUUGGGAAGCUGGGGAGCCCCAGGUUCAGCCGUGGACAGCCUCUGUAAGACAAAGCGUUCUUAAAAGAACCGAAGUUUGUUCCCAAAGGCUUCUUACCCACAUCUUCCAGUGCUUUCCUAGCCCUGGGGGAUUAAAUGUUCUCCCCACAUUACAAAAAAGCAGACUGAGGUUCCCAGGAUCCCAGAGAUAUGGUUGCCAGGCCCAAGAUCUCGAUAAGAAACAUUUUCAACUUUCACAUUCCUAAGCUGGCUUGCCAGCACAGAAAUCACAGGCUCCCUUCUCCAUCCCAGCCCUGAAGGUAGUGGCCCUCAUUUCUGAUUAGCCCCUUGACUCAGGGAAUGUCCUGGCUAUUGGUAAUCCUUUCCCUACAAAGAAAACAUGGAUAGGCAUGGAAAAAGGGAGUGUGGUGACCUAGAAAUCUGGACCUGAAGUGCCCUGAAUUUUCAAGGGGCAGAGGAGACCGAAGCGCCACUGUUCUUCCAUGGGGAUGGGGCCUCUGACUGUCGGCAUGGAUCAGAGCAGGCUCCAAUUAGACCCUGGUUCUGGUGGGUUUUUUCCAACGUCUAUCCAUCGAGCAUCCAUUGGGUACAUGGCGCCAUACUUGGUGCAGGAGAUCUGAGCAGGAUGUUGGUACUCCCGUAACUACAGGGGAAAAAAAAGAUUAGGCUUUUUCCCUUUGUGUCAAUGAAACCAAAAGUGCUUCUUAAAACUUUAGCUCCAUUCAUGGCUUGUCUCACCUCAGUCUAGUAUGGGAGAGACCACAGCUGAGCGAUGGCGAAACAGCCACUCAAGGCCUCAGUCAGUUCUUGUUUUAAUUUCCUCACCAAAUUACUGACUCAGAGCAUAACCAAAGACCUCAUCCAUUCACCCCUGGUGGGUUCUUCGGGGAAUUGAAGGUCGGUGGUAUCAAUUAGGCGGGGCACCGGGAGCAGAGAAGCGAGGAAGGGAGAGACGUGCAUGAAGUUCUAUACCUCAGCCAGCAACUGCCUUCACUUUCAACUCAAGUCCAGCCGGCAGACUCUAGUUCUAUGUCCCCCGUGCCACCCUAGGGCCUUGGCGGCUCUGGAUUACACCCAACCCCGCAGGAUGCUAGUCUCAGGCUACUGAUGGGUUUGAUUUGACAAUACAUCAAACACAGCCAGGCUUGACUGCCAGAUUGUCAGCUGGGCCUGACCGAGGGCUUCUCCAGCUCCUCCAGUAAGAUCCCUAAGAUAGGAUAGAGGAAAUCUGGACUGGUGGGUCCGUGUAUGAAAGAGACGUGUCCCCUUUAGAAAAAGAUUUUCAAGCGGAUAUAGAAGAAACAGUUGCUUGUGAAAUAUACUUUUGUAAAUAAUAUUUAAUUUUUUAAAAUAAUAUAUUUGGUGCUGUUUUCUCAGAUCCCCUGAGAGCACUUUUUAUUUUCAUUUUUAAAAUUCUAUGGUUUCCUCUGCAUUUCUUGAAGUAUAUUUUAAGGGAAUCAGUGAUCACCAAUAUACUCUUUAAAAGAAAAAAAAAAAA
ensembl:lncRNA